rnacentral:lncRNA from 1 species
ACCCUGACCUCCUCGCUUCAGUGUUGACGAUUACUGGAUAUGCUGGUACCAGAAAGAAAUCAUGGAGACCGGGCAGAGAAAGGAUCCUGUGGGAAAGCUCUUCUGUUGAGGUGGACACCCACAGUGAAAAUGCUACGUCAUCUGAGAGUGCCGCUCGCACUCUGCUGAUCCACGGCCCCGUGGAACUCAAAAGAGGCUGGAGGAGGCAGAAGCGACACCUCUUCUUGCUCAGCGAUCUGUUGCUGAUAACUAACACCAAGUUGAUGCUACAGAAACCAACACAAAGGGAGUAAAUAGUUGACUGACUGCUGCGUAUAUAUUAGUCAGACUAAAUGAACUUUAGUUUGUGCGAAAUAAUAAAGGGGAUUUAUAUGUCCUUUCUUCA